AUUGAACGCUGGCGGCAGGCCUAACACAUGCAAGUCGAACGGACCGGCGGACGGGUGAGUAAUGCCUAGGAAUCUGCCUGGUACUGGGGGAUAACGUACGACAACGGGCACUAAUCCCGCAUACUAUCAGUUGCUCCUAGGUCGGAUUAGCUAGUUGGUGGGGUAAAGGCCUACCAAGGCGACGAUCCGUAACUGGUCUGAGAGGAUGAUCAGUCACACUGGGACUGAGACACGGUCCAGACUCCUACGGGAGGCAGCAGUGGGGAAUAUUGGACAAUGGGCGAAAGCCUGAUCCAGCCAUGCCGCGUGUGUGAAGAAGGUCUUCGGAUUGUAAAGCACUUUAAGUUGGGAGGCGUUACCUACAGAAUAAGCACCGGCUAACUUCGUGCCAGCAGCCGCGGUAAUUC
rnacentral:rRNA from 1 species